rnacentral:rRNA from 1 species
CACAUCUAAGGAAGGCAGCAGGCGCGCAAAUUACCCAAUCCCGACACGGGGAGGUAGUGACAAUAAAUACUGAUACAGGGCUCUUUUGGGUCUUGUAAUUGGAAUGAGUACAAUCUAAAUCCCUUAACGAGGAGCAAUUGGAGGGCAAGUCUGGUGCCAGCAGCCGCGGUAAUUCCAGCUCCAAUAGCGUAUAUUAAAGUUGUUGCAGUUAAAAAGCUCGUAGUUGAACCUUGGGUCUGGCUGGCCGGUCCGCCUCACCGCGUGCACUGGUCCGGCUGGACCUUUCCUUCUGGGGAGCCCCAUGGCCUUUACUGGCUGUGGGGGGAACCAGGACUUUUACUUUGAAAAAAUUAGAGUGUUCAAAGCAGGCCUUUGCUCGGAUACAUUAGCAUGGAAUAAUAGAAUAGGACGUGCGGUUCUAUUUUGUUGGUUUCUAGGACCGCCGUAAUGAUUAAUAGGGAUGGUCGGGGGCGUCAGUAUUCGGCUGUCAGAGGUGAAAUUCUUGGAUUCGCUGAAGACUAACUACUGCGAAAGCAUUCGCCAAGGAUGUUUUCAUUAAUCAGGGAACGAAAGUUAGGGGAUCGAAGACGAUCAGAUACCGUCGUAGUCUUAACCAUAAACUAUGCCGACUAGGGAUCGGACGGUGUUUUUAUGAUGACCCGUUCGGCACCUUACGAGAAAUCAAAGUUUUUGGGUCUGGGGGGAGUAUGGUCGCAAGGCUGAAA